ensembl:lncRNA
CGGCCGCCGCCGAGGCUCCGCCCCGCACCUGACUGGCCUCGAGAACCCAAGGAGGCGGUGGGUUAUCUCAGCGCGGCACAAAGGAGGCACAUUGAGAAAGGGGCGGGGUUGUCAGCGACUUCAAGAGUCUCUGCAUAUUCUCCUCCAACAAACAACCAGAUAUCUAGAAAAUAAAAGGAUGCCGAAUGGAGAAAGGACGCCGACUCCGUCCCCACCUUUGAAUCACCCUGGAUCCACCGGGGCUGGACCCCGGCAGAUGACACCACCCUUAUGGCAAAAAGUGAAGAAGAACUAAAGAGCCUCUUGGUGAAAGUGAAAAAGGAGAGUGAAAAAGUUGGCUUAAAGCUCA